UACAGAGGGGGCAAGCGUUAUUCGGAAUUAUUGGGCGUAAAGGGCGCGUAGGCGGCCUGGCAAGUGGAAGGUGAAAUCCCUCGGCUUAACCGAGGAACUGCCCUCCAAACUGCUUGGCUUGAGUCCGGGAGAGGUGAGUGGAAUUCCCAGUGUAGCGGUGAAAUGCGUAGAUAUUGGGAGGAACACCAGUGGCGAAGGCGGUUCUCUGGGCCUGACCUGACGCUGAGGAGCGAAAGCGUGGGGAGCGAACAGG
rnacentral:rRNA from 1 species